rnacentral:tRNA from 1 species
AUAGAGGAAAAGGAGUUGAACCAAUAUUAUAAAACCCAAAAUUUUACGUAUUUCAAUUAUACUACCCUCUA